GCUCAGGAUGAACGCUGGCGGCGUGCUUAACACAUGCAAGUCGAGCGAAGCGCUUAAGUCUGAUUCUUCGGAUGAAGACUUUUGUGACUGAGCGGCGGACGGGUGAGUAACGCGUGGGUAACCUGCCUCAUACAGGGGGAUAACAGUUAGAAAUGACUGCUAAUACCGCAUAAGACCACGGUACCGCAUGGUACAGUGGUAAAAACUCCGGUGGUAUGAGAUGGACCCGCGUCUGAUUAGGUAGUUGGUGGGGUAACGGCCUACCAAGCCAACGAUCAGUAGCCGACCUGAGAGGGUGACCGGCCACAUUGGGACUGAGACACGGCCCAGACUCCUACGGGAGGCAGCAGUA
rnacentral:rRNA from 1 species